rnacentral:snoRNA from 1 species
CCCCUUUUAAAAGCACUCAUUGGACCUUUUGCCAGGGAUCCACUGAGCCGUCAAAAGGAGCAGAUUAAAAACCACCACUUUUGGGUAAGCGGCAACAUCUCGUGUUGUUCAGCUUCAAUCGGAGAUGUGACAAAA